GGCUCGUUGGUCUAGGGGUAUGAUUCUUGCUUUGGGUGUGAGAGGUCCUGGGUUCAAAUCCUGGACGAGCCC
rnacentral:tRNA from 2 species